rnacentral:rRNA from 1 species
GAUGAACGCUGGCGGCGUGCCUAAUACAUGCAAGUCGAGCGAACGGACGAGAAGCUUGCUUCUCUGAUGUUAGCGGCGGACGGGUGAGUAACACGUGGAUAACCUACCUAUAAGACUGGGAUAACUUCGGGAAACCGGAGCUAAUACCGGAUGAUAUUUUGAACCGCAUGGUUCAAAAGUGAAAGACGGUCUUGCUGUCACUUAUAGAUGGAUCCGCGCUGCAUUAGCUAGUUGGUAAGGUAACGGCUUACCAAGGCAACGAUGCAUAGCCGACCUGAGAGGGUGAUCGGCCACACUGGAACUGAGACACGGUCCAGACGCCUACGAGAGGCAGCAGUAGGGAAUCUUCCGCAAUGGGCGAAAGCCUGACGGAGCAACGCCGCGUGAGUGAUGAAGGUCUUCGGAUCGUAAAACUCUGUUAUUAGGGAAGAACAUAUGUGUAAGUAACUGUGCACAUCUUGACGGUACCUAAUCAGAAAGCCACGGCUAACUACGUG